CAGGGUUCUUUAAUCUGUUUCUCUAUAAGAACACUCAAUUUUCACGCUUUCUGUCUUCUUUCUUCCAGGGCUCUCCCCUUGCCCUAGGCUCUGGCCGUUGCGCCCGGCGGGGUCAACUCCAUGAUUAGCAUGGAGCUGUAGGAGUCUAAAUUGGGGACGCAGAUGUUUGGGACGUCACCUUGCAGUGUUAACUUGGCUCUCAUGAACCUCUUUGAUCUUCCACAAGGGGUAGGCUACGGGUGAAACCUCUUAGGCUAAUACUUCUAUGAAGAGAUGCCUUGGAUAGGGUAACAGCGGCGGAUAUUGGUGAGUUGUUAAGACAAAAACCAUUCAACGCCGAAGGACUGGCUCUCAUCCAGUGGAUGCAUUGAGUGAAUUGAUUGUCAGGGCUGUCUCUAGGUUUAAUCCCAGACCUCUCUGUGCUUAGGGCAAACACUCAUUUGGCCUUAAAUGGGAUCCUGUGAGAGGGGGUCCCUCCAUUGGCAGCUGGACUGUUCUUUGGGGCCUUAUGUGGUGUUUGCCUCUGAGGUACUCAGGGGCAUUUAGGUUUUUCCUCAUUCUUAAACAAUAAUG
rnacentral:other from 1 species